rnacentral:rRNA from 1 species
UUGGAGGGCAAGUCUGGUGCCAGCAGCCGCGGUAAUUCCAGCUCCAAUAGCGUAUAUUAAAGUUGUUGCAGUUAAAAAGCUCGUAGUUGAAUUUCGGGGUUUAUCCAUUGGUCGGGCUUUACGGUCCGUACUGGUGUGAUGGAUUCCUACCUUCUGAAUAACCUUCAUGCCAUUAAUUUGGUGCGUAGGGGAAGCAGAGCUGUUACCUUGAAAAAAUUAGAGUGCUUAAAGCAGGCAAGUGCCUGAAUACAUUAGCAUGGAAUAAUGAAAUAGGACGGCAUGGUUCUAUUUUGUUGGUUUCUAGGAUCACCGUAAUGAUUAAUAGGGAUAGUUGGGGGCAUUAGUAUUCAAUUGUCAGAGGUGAAAUUCUUGGAUUUAUUGAAGACUAACUUCUGCGAAAGCAUUUGCCAAGGAUGUUUUCAUUAAUCAAGAACGAAAGUUAGGGGAUCGAAGACGAUCAGAUACCGUCGUAGUCUUAACCAUAAACUAUGCCGACUAGGGAUCGGACGAUGUUAAUUUUUUAAUGACUCGUUCGGCGCCUUACGGGAAAC